rnacentral:rRNA from 1 species
AUUAACUGAAUCCAUAGGUUAAUGAGGCGAACCGGGGGAACUGAAACAUCUAAGUACCCCGAGGAAAAGAAAUCAACCGAGAUUCCCCCAGUAGCGGCGAGCGAACGGGGAGCAGCCCAGAGCCUGAAUCAGUGUGUGUGUUAGUGGAAGCGUCUGGAAAGGCGCGCGAUACAGGGUGACAGCCCCGUACACAAAAAUGCACAUACUGUGAGCUCGAUGAGUAGGGCGGGACACGUGGUAUCCUGUCUGAAUAUGGGGGGACCAUCCUCCAAGGCUAAAUACUCCUGACUGACCGAUAGUGAACCAGUACCGUGAGGGAAAGGCGAAAAGAACCCCGGCGAGGGGAGUGAAAAAGAACCUGAAACCGUGUACGUACAAGCAGUGGGAGCACGCUUAGGCGUGUGACUGCGUACCUUUUGUAUAAUGGGUCAGCGACUUAUAUUCUGUAGCAAGGUUAACCGAAUAGGGGAGCCGAAGGGAAACCGAGUCUUAACUGGGCGUUAAGUUGCAGGGUAUAGACCCGAAACCCGGUGAUCUAGCCAUGGGCAGGUUGAAGGUUGGGUAACACUAACUGGAGGACCGAACCGACUAAUGUUGAAAAAUUAGCGGAUGACUUGUGGCUGGGGGUGAAAGGCCAAUCAAACCGGGAGAUAGCUGGUUCUCCCCGAAAGCUAUUUAGGUAGCGCCUCGUGAAUUCAUCUCCGGGGGUAGAGCACUGUUUCGGCAAGGGGGUCAUCCCGACUUACCAACCCGAUGCAAACUGCGAAUACCGGAGAAUGUUAUCACGGGAGACACACGGCGGGUGCUAACGUCCGUCGUGAAGAGGGAAACAACCCAGACCGCCAGCUAAGGUCCCAAAGUCAUGGUUAAGUGGGAAACGAUGUGGGAAGGCCCAGACAGCCAGGAUGUUGGCUUAGAAGCAGCCAUCAUUUAAAGAAAGCGUAAUAGCUCACUGGUCGAGUCGGCCUGCGCGGAAGAUGUAACGGGGCUAAACCAUGCACCGAAGCUGCGGCAGCGACGCUGAUGCGUUGUUGGGUA